UACAGAGGUCCCAAGCGUUGUUCGGAUUCACUGGGCGUAAAGGGUGCGCAGGUGGGUUUGCAAGUUCGAUGUGAAGGCCCCGGGCUUAACCCGGGAAUGGCAUUGGAUACUGCAGAUCUGGAGGUUCGGAGGGGGGACUGGAAUUCUUGGUGUAGCAGGUGAAAUGCGUAGAUAUCAAGAGGAACACCAGUGGCGAAGGCGAGUCCCUGGACGACACCUGACACUGAGGCACGAAAGCUAGGGGAGCAAACAGG
rnacentral:rRNA from 1 species